ACAAUGUGCCAGACUCUGAAUUGGGUACUCCAGGCAUAUUAUUUCAUCUAAUUCUCACUACAACCCAGUGCAAGUAGUUGUUAAUAAUCUCAAGUUGUCAAUUUUUAAAAAUUGAAGCUCCAAGAGAUUAAGUAACUGUUCCAGUCUGCACAGCUAGAAAAUGGUGAAGUUGGGAUUCCAGCCUGGGUCAGUCUCUUUCCAAAGCCUGUGGCUGCUACACCCGCGCUCAGGAUGCUCAGGGUGGAAAGAAACUGACGUCUUUCUUCCUGCACUGCAGAAGGAAGGCAAUUAGCGGUCCAUGGUUCCUUGCGUUUGAGCUCUGCAGGUGAAAGGAUUGAUGACAAUUCUAGAAUUAAUAGCGCUUGGCAGCUGUCACCUUCCCUAGACGGCAGGGUUAAGAAGAGGAGUUCUGAAAACCUGGGCCAGUGGAGGCGGCUCCUUGGUCUGAAAUCAGGAUGGUUCUGAUUCAGACGGUCGCCUACAGAUGCAUUUUCCCCCUGUGUUUCUUUAGUACCCGGGAGCUCUGACCCCGACCUGUGUCUAGGGACAGACUGCGGUGGAGGCAGAAAGGACUACUUGAGUGUAUCAGCUCUAAGGAUGAGAGCAGAGGCAGCAGAGCAGACAUAACUGAGCACCCCCGAGGUCGGGCGUGGUCCUCGAGUGGUUUUUCUGCUUCGUUGAUCAGAUUCUUUAAGGCUCCGAGUUCAUUAAACAGAAUCUCCAUUCCAUGUCCCUGAGUCCCUGUGUGGGCUUGGUUCCUACACCACAUGGCCGAAGCCCGCCAAGAUGGAUGACACGUCCUCCACAGGCAGGCCCCUUGCCACCCACCCUGUCCUGAGCGAUGUCUGCUGAGAUCACGGGAAUUCAUCUCUCGCACCAGGAAGCCUCGGCGGCACCGCCCUCCCUUUCUCCUUCACCAGACCCCUGCCUUGUGGGCCCUCCGGCCCUUCCCUUUGGGGCCCUCUGUUCCCUGCCCUGAGCUCCACGCCAGCUCUCCCAGUGCCUCUGGAGCAGACCCGCUCCACUCUGCCCUGCCCCUCACCGCUCCCCUCAAAGCUUACCUGUGCUGCCCUGAGAGUCCCUUUCCAGCCCAGAGCUAGCCGGUGUCCGUGCCCCUGGCUGUCCCUCAGCACCACCCUAUCCUGAAACUGACCCCUUUCCAAUCCUCCGCCUACUUCCUGACCCCGCCUCUGCUCCCUCAGGGUUCAGGGUUCCAAGUAGGAAGGGCCCGGCAGGAGGUCCUUUGGGAGAGAAAGAUGAGAGAGACUGGAAGGGGUCAGGCUAAAUGGGACUCUGGAUCCACCUCUGCAAAGACUGUUGUUACACACAGUUGUUUCCAACAUACUGUUGGAUUUGGGUUACAAGAAGGGUUAAACUACCUAAAAAUUUGUUUUUCACAUAUAGACGAGUGUGUACUUUCUUAAGUAGUUUUUCACAGUGCUUUUUAAAAAUAUAUACUGCUUAAAAAAUGAAAAGUCAGCAAUAAAUGAAGCAGAAAGAGUAACAGUAUAUUUAUAGAGCUUGUUUCAUAUGCUACCACUAUUAAAAUAUCCAGAUGUACCAUUAUGGGACCAAAAUCUACUCAGCGUAUAUUGAAGCGAAUGCUUCCCAGCUGUACCAUUUCACAUUCUUUGCACUGAAUUUUGAGUCAGAAAGCCCUGACAUUAGGUCUUCUGUGCAGCAUUUAGGACUAGUGCAAGCCAGCCUGAUCAUGCUGGUUAGGAACAGCAAUAUUGUUUUUUUAAAAAAAUUAUUGUUAAAAUAUCCCUUGUACCUAGAAAAGUUCAAAGUAGUACAAAUUGAGGUAAAUGAAAAACUAGUCUUUUAAACUUUGCUGCCUCGCCGACCAGUCUAACUCCCUAAAGGCAAGCACUUUGAACCAUUUCUAACUUUACUUCUUGUUUUGGUUAUUACCAGAAUUGUAGAUGAGUGACCUCCUACUUCCCGACCGUCAGAGAUGGUGAAUGUCAGUCAUCUGCACCCUCCUCCACAUUAUCCCAUGAGGAGACCUGCCUGUCAGCAAUGGAGACGUGUGCGGCAUUGUAUCUCAGGACCCAGAGCCAGGCUCGGCGUGCGGAGGGCAUUUCAUAAGGAAUUGUAGGAUAAACUAAACCAUAUACUCAAAUAUGUAUUUCUGGGUCAGCAGCCCUGACACAGUCAUCCCUGGAGAGACUGUGAUAAACUCUGACUCCCUGCUGUUCUGGAAGGAAUUUAGUCCUCUUGGUGACUGACUGGAGCAGGAACUGCCUUCAAGGAGGCCUCACAUGUGGAUCUGCCAUAGGGCAAGCACACCUGGAGAAUGACUUUGGGGGAGUGACCUUGGAUUUGCUCUGUCUGCAAUAAACAUUCUGGAACGUG